rnacentral:rRNA from 1 species
GACGAACGCUGGCGGCGUGCUUAACACAUGCAAGUCGAACGGCAAGGCCCUGCUUUUGUGGGGUGCUCGAGUGGCGAACGGGUGAGUAACACGUGAGUAACCUGCCCUUGACUUUGGGAUAACUUCAGGAAACUGGGGCUAAUACCGGAUAGGAGCUCCUGCUGCAUGGUGGGGGUUGGAAAGUUUCGGCGGUUGGGGAUGGACUCGCGGCUUAUCAGCUUGUUGGUGGGGUAGUGGCUUACCAAGGCUUUGACGGGUAGCCGGCCUGAGAGGGUGACCGGCCACAUUGGGACUGAGAUACGGCGCAGACUCCUACGGGAGGCAGCAGGGGGGAAUAUUGCACAAUGGGCGGAAGCCUGAUGCAGCAACGCCGCGUGCGGGAUGACGGCCUUCGGGUUGUAAACCGCUUUCGCCUGUGACGAAGCGUGAGUGACGGUAAUGGGUAAAGAAGCACCGGCUAACUACGUG